rnacentral:rRNA from 1 species
UACGAAGGGGGGCUAGCGUUGCUCGGAAUCACUGGGCGUAAAGGGUGCGUAGGCGGGUCUUUUAAGUCAGGGGUGAAAUCCUGGAGCUCAACUCCAGAACUGCCUUUGAUACUGAAGAUCUUGAGUUCGGGAGAGGUGAGUGGAACUGCGAGUGUAGAGGUGAAAUUCGUAGAUAUUCGCAAGAACACCAGUGGCGAAGGCGCUCACUGGCCCGAUACUGACGCUGAGGCACGAAAGCGUGGGGAGCAACAGG